rfam:Danio rerio chromosome 4, GRCz11 reference primary assembly.
GCAUUGGUGGUUCAGUGGUAGAUUUCUAGCCUGCCAUGCGGGAGACCCGGGUCCGAUUCCCGGCCAAUGCA